CUACGGGAUGCAGCAGUGAGGAAUAUUGCACAAUGGGGGAAACCCUGAUGCAGCAACGCCGCGUGGAGGAUGACGCAUUUCGGUGUGUAAACUCCUUUUAUAUGUCAAGAAAAUGACGGUAGCAUAUGAAUAAGCACCGGCUAACUCCGUGCCAGCAGCCGCGGUAAUACGGAGGGUGCAAGCGUUAUUCGGAAUCACUGGGCGUAAAGGACGCGUAGGCGGGUUAUCAAGUCAGGUGUGAAAUCCUACAGCUUAACUGUAGAACUGCACUUGAAACUGGUAGCCUAGAGUAUGGGAGGGGCAGAUGGAAUUAGUGGUGUAGGGGUAAAAUCCGUAGAUAUCACUAGGAAUACCGAAAGCGAAGGCGAUCUGCUGGAACAUUACUGACGCUAAGGCGUGAAAGCGUGGGGAGCAAACAGGAUUAGAUACCCCAGUAGUC
rnacentral:rRNA from 1 species